rnacentral:rRNA from 1 species
UACGGAGGGUGCAAGCGUUAAUCGGAAUUACUGGGCGUAAAGCGCACGCAGGCGGUUUGGCAAGUCAAAUGUGAAAUCCCCGGGCUCAACCUGGGAACUGCAUCUGAUACUGGCGAGCUUGAGUCUCGUAGAGGGGGAUGGAAUUCAAGGUGUAGCGGUGAAAUGCGUAGAGAUCUUGAGGAAUACCGGUGGCGAAGGCGACUCCCUGGACGAAGACUGACGCUCAGGUGCGAAAGCGUGGGGAGCGAACAGG